rnacentral:rRNA from 1 species
UACGGAGGGGUCUAGCGUUGUUCGGAAUUACUGGGCGUAAAGCGCACGUAGGCGGAUUGGUAAGUCGGGGGUGAAAUCCCGGGGCUCAACCCCGGAACUGCCUUCGAUACUGGCAAUCUAGAGUUCUGGAGAGGAGAGUGGAAUUCCGAGUGUAGAGGUGAAAUUCGUAGAUAUUCGGAGGAACACCAGUGGAGAAGGCGGCUUACCGGCCAGACACUGACGCUGAGGUGCGAAAGCGUGGGGAGAAAACAGG